rnacentral:lncRNA from 1 species
UUAUUCAUUAAGCCAAGAAUGUAAAUUAACUGCCCAAAUAUUUUGGAGCUCUUAUUUAAUCCCAUUUUGUUGUUUUGUUAUUGCUUUUUAAAGGAUAACAAGGCCUCAUUCAAAAAAAUAAAGGGAAAAUUACCUACAAACAAACAUUUAAAUAUUAAUUUUCAAAAAACAAGGAUUAAGUUUCAUUUUCAAUAAUCAGGUGUUAAUUAAAUUUUAUAAUAAAGGUAAUGUACCUCAACUAAAGCAGCCAGGAUGGAGCAGAGGCAAAAGCUUCCUUCAAAUCGAAAAACGAAUAUCGAAUAAUUUCAGUAAUUGACUAGCUAAUCACCAGUGAACUCACGAAAAAAUGAGUCCUUAGUUUAGGAAAACUCCACAAAAUCCCCCACACCCACGUACAAUCUGGAGCUCAUUUAGGGCAACGUAGCACUGACUGGAGAUCUGACCAAUCCAAUUUGGCCAUGUAGAAUCUCGAAUACAGCAGCGAAUUUCCCCCAGAGCAGCGGCUUCUCGACGGCGGCGUAGACAUGUUCGUGGCCGGAUUCCUUCAGCAUCUUCACAUAAAGGUAAAAUACUGGUAACCAUCUGAUGAAUACGGUCCAAUUGUAGAUUGUGAGGAAAAUUCGUCGGAAAUUAGAGAAAAAUCUGGCCAUUGGAACUAUUCCGGCUUGUAGAUCUGAGUUAAGAGAGAGAGAGAGAGAGAGAGAGAGAGAGAGAGAGAGAGUGGAGUAUAUGAAGACAGGGAUAUUGAAUGGGGGUUCGGUAGACUGAUUAACCACGCCGGUGUGCAGUGCGAUGAAUUAUUGUUUAAAAAAUUUACAAUUUCAUUAUCCAAAAUUAAGAAAAUUUACUGGUCUCUUGUGGUUGUGCAGAUCUGAGCGAUAGAAUGUGGGCAGUGUGUAUGAAUCUGUGCGUGGUGUGUGGAUACAUGUUGUGGUGGUAGUGGUGGUGGUAGUGGUGGUGCAGUUAUGCUUGUGGUGGUCGCUGGGGUUUAUUGUAACCAAUAAAUAAUGUAACUUAAAAAAUAUGCGAUUUUUUGACUAAAUUUGUAAUUA